CAGGUGGUUGUGCAAAUGGCGCGCGUGGAGGGGCUGAUCUCCGAGUCCUACGGCGCUUGGAGAGGCUGUUGGAGGCAGGGCUUGCGGCGCUACUUACUGCUGGUGCUACCUAGGCUAGGGUUUUUUGCUUAGCUUUACUAUGUUGGGCUGGUUUAAUUGGGUUAAAUUUGGGCUGUGCUUUGUUUUAUAUGGGCCCGGGCAUUAUUGGGCUUGUACA
rnacentral:lncRNA from 1 species